CCUCUCAGUUGUUUCUGGAUUAAGAGAUCUACCAUUUUAUUUUGAUGGGAGGGUGGACUUUGAUGAAACAGUUAGUUCUUUUUUCUAAGUUGUAUUCUCUGUCCUGUCUUUUUAUUUUUAGUCUAUUUGGUUCUGCCGUUUAAGUUUUUAUUAGUUUGUCCUUUUUUUUUUUUUUUUUUUUUUUACAUAAAUCGUAAUUCGGCCUUUUUGCCAAGUUGCUCAUCCUGCCUUUUUAUAUCUU
rnacentral:lncRNA from 1 species